rnacentral:rRNA from 1 species
GCAAGUCGAACGAUCCUUCGGGAUAGUGGCGCACGGGUGAGUAACGCGUAGGAAUCUACCUAUCAGUCUGGGAUAACAGUUGGAAACGACUGCUAAUACCGGAUAUUCCCUCCGGGGGAAAGAUUUAUCGCUGAUAGAUGAGCCUGCGUUAGAUUAGCUUGUUGGUAAGGUAAUGGCUUACCAAGGCUACGAUCUAUAGCUGGUCUGAGAGGAUGAUC